GGAAUACUUGUUUCAGCAGCCCACAUACUCAGAUAGGAAGAAUAUAGAGUUGAUCCACAUGGUCCUUGCACAGGGAUGACACACAAUUUCAUGAUGCAUUCCAUAUUUUU